rnacentral:lncRNA from 1 species
UACUGAUGAUGGUGGUGAGCGUCUGUUCGCAGACCUCGCUUAUCCAGACGCGGACGUGGGGUUGAACGGAGGCCCUUAUCGAUUUCAGAGAAGCAGCAUCGGCGGAAAGAGAGAAAUGGCGCGGCAGCGGAGUGUUAGCUGCGGAUUUCAUAUGAGGAGAAGAGAGAAUCAGCCCUUAAUUGAAUUGGUGUUGGGCCUUCUUUUUGGUGGAGUUUUGGGCUUCGUUGCUGGGCCUUUUCUUUUGUAGAGAGGGGUCCAAACCCUUAUUGGUCCCCAACCCUUUUUUCAUAGUUCAAGUCAUUUUUUGUUCUUUUUUUUAAAUUGUAAACACAAUUUUUUUUUAUAUUUAUUUAUUUAUUUAUUUAUUUAUUUAUUUUUUUUUGCAAGUAAAUUUCAAAUAUGAAUUUUUCUUGCAGUUGGCAAUAGAGAAAGCUUGGUGAUAGCGACCUUCAAGAUUGGCGUAGUCUUAUCAACCAAGUUCAUGGUGGAUUUUGCCCCAAACGAGAUGUUUUGAGUAUUUGCAAAGUUCGGAGUAUUAUGUACAAGAUUGGCGAAUUAAUCAACUUCAUGGAAGAUUUUGCCCCAAACGAGAUGCUUUGAGUAUUUGCAAAGUUCGGAGUCUAUUGUCAUCUUUCUUUCAAUCUUGACAUCUCCUGUCAGCCCGACUAAAGACCAUCC